UCGGACGUGGUGUAAUGCAACACGGCCUCUCUCCUCAAGUAUUCUUCUAGUGGAUCAAGAGGCAAUCCCGGGUUCGAGUCCCGGCGUCCGAA